rnacentral:rRNA from 1 species
UACAGAGGGGGCAAGCGUUGUUCGGAAUUACUGGGCGUAAAGGGUUCGUAGGUGGCUUGCUCAGUCAGACGUGAAAUCCCUCAGCUUAACUGGGGAACUGCGUCUGAUACUGGCGAGCUUGAGUGCAGGAGAGGAACGCGGAAUUCCAGGUGUAGCGGUGAAAUGCGUAGAUAUCUGGAGGAACACCGGUGGCGAAGGCGGCGUUCUGGACUGCAACUGACACUGAGGAACGAAAGCCAGGGGAGCAAACGGG